rnacentral:ncRNA from 1 species
UCUUUCGGGGCGGGGUGCAAUUCCCAACCGGCAGUAAAUUAAGCCUGCGACCUGUCAAAGUAUAUGGUUAACUACUUUGAUGGCUGAUCUAGUGAAAGUCUAGAGCCGACAGUGAAAGUCUGGAUGGGAGAAAG